rnacentral:tRNA from 5 species
CGGGGUGUGGCGCAGUUGGUAGCGCGCCUGCUUUGGGAGCAGGAAGUCGCCGGUUCGAGUCCGGUCACCCCGA